AAUCAACGCUGGCGGCGUGCCUCAGACAUGCAAGUCGAACGAUUAAAGCUCUCUUCGGAGAGUGUAUAGAGUGGCGCACGGGUGAGUAACACGUAAGUAAUCUACCUUUGAGUGGGGAAUAACAGUCGGAAACGGCUGCUAAUACCGCAUAACGCAGCGGCACCGCAAGGUGACAGUUGUUAAAGGAGCAAUCCGCUUAAAGAGGAGCUUGCGGCAGAUUAGCUUGUUGGUAAGGUAACGGCUUACCAAGGCUACGAUCUGUAUCCGGUCUAAGAGGACGGUCGGACACACUGACACUGAAUAACGGGUCAGACUCCUACGGGAGGCAGCAGUCGGGAAUUUUGGGCAAUGGGCGAAAGCCUGACCCAGCAACGCCGCGUGAAGGAUGAAGUAUUUCGGUAUGUAAAACUUCGAAAGAAUAGGAAAGAAUAAAUGACGGUACUAUUUAUAAGCUCCGGCUAACUACGUGCCAGCAGCCGCGGUAAG
rnacentral:rRNA from 1 species